CUACGGGCUGCUGCAGUGGGAAAUAUUGCACAAUGGGCGCAAGCCUGAUGCAGCCAUGCCGCGUGUAUGAAGAAGGCCUUCGGGUUGUAAAGUACUUUCAGCGGGGAGGAAGGGAGUAAAGUUAAUACCUUUGCUCAUUGACGUUACCCGCAGAAGAAGCACCGGCUAACUCCGUGCCAGCAGCCGCGGCAAUACGGAGGGUGCAAGCGUUAAUCGGAAUUACUGGGCGUAAAGCGCACGCAGGCGGUUUGUUAAGUCAGAUGUGAAAUCCCCGGGCUCAACCUGGGAACUGCAUCUGAUACUGGCAAGCUUGAGUCUCGUAGAGGGGGGUAGAAUUCCAGGUGUAGCGGUGAAAUGCGUAGAGAUCUGGAGGAAUACCGGUGGCGAAGGCGGCCCCCUGGACGAAGACUGACGCUCAGGUGCGAAAGCGUGGGGAGCAAACAGGAUUAGAUACCCUAGUAGUC
rnacentral:rRNA from 1 species